rnacentral:rRNA from 1 species
CCUACGGGUGGCAGUAGUGAGGAAUAUUGGUCAAUGGGCGUAAGCCUGAACCAGCCAAGCCGCGUGAGGGAUGAAGGUUCUAUGGAUCGUAAACCUCUUUUAUAAGGGAAUAAAGUGCGGGACGUGUCCCGUUAUGUAUGUACCUUAUGAAAAAGGAUCGGCUAACUCCGUGCCAGCAGCCGCGGUAAUACGGAGGAUGCGAGCGUUAUCCGGAUUUAUUGGGUUUAAAGGGUGCGUAGGCGGGCAUUUAAGUCGGCGGUCAAAUGUCGGGGCUCAACCCCGGCCUGCCGUCGAAACUGGGUGUCUUGAGUGGGCGAGAAGUAUGCGGAAUGCGUGGUGUAGCGGUGAAAUGCAUAGAUAUCACGCAGAACCCCGAUUGCGAAGGCAGCAUACCGGCGCCCUACUGACGCUGAGGCACGAAAGUGCGGGUAUCGAACAGGAUUAGAUACCCGAGUAGUC